CAGUCGGAUAAUCGCGCCCGCAAGAAAUUACGGGUGAGGAAAGUCCGUGCAUCCGAGAACAGGCAUCCGGAGAAACUCCGGGCGGUGUGAGCCGGCGGACAGUGCCACAGAAAUGAAUGCUUCAGCCGAUGCGAAGUGCCGGAGUCGGCUUGCAGAAGGGCAAGACGAGCUGGGCGCGAGCAUUAUAUGACCGCCGUUGUGAAUGAAGCGUUAGCGAAAUGAACGAAGCAAUCUAUGAUUGCGCAGGCGGGAAAUGGCAUAAGCUGCAAGACUGCCGAUGGAUUUUAUAUCACAGGCGAUGGUGCAACGGUGAGGUAAGAGCAUCACCAGCGAAAUCGGAAGGUUUCGGCUAGGUAAACCCAUGCCGGAUGCAAGGUUGAGUUCGGGGUUAUAAAGGUUGUUCGCCCACCCGAGAAAGAACCGCUUGAGCCUGAGAGUAAUCUCAGGACCAGACAGAUGAUUAUCUAAAACAGAACACGGCUUACGGGCUGCUUUA
rnacentral:RNase_P_RNA from 1 species